GACGAACGCUGGCGGCGUGCUUAACACAUGCAAGUCGAACGGAAAGGCUCCAGCUUGCUGGAGUACUCGAGUGGCGAACGGGUGAGUAACACGUGGGUAAUCUGCCCUGCACUCUGGGAUAAGCCUGGGAAACUGGGUCUAAUACUGGAUAUGACCUUUCUCCUUAUGGGGUUUGGUGGAAAGUUUUGCGGUGUAGGAUGAGCCCGCGGCCUAUCAGCUUGUUGGUGGAGUGAUGGCCUACCAAGGCGACGACGGGUAGCCGGCCUGAGAGGGUGAUCGGCCACAUGGGGACUGAGAUACGGCGCAGACUCCUACGGGAGGCAGCAGUGGGGAAUAUUGCACAAUGGGCGGAAGCCUGAUGCAGCGACGCCGCGUGAGGGAUGACGGCCUUCGGGUUGUAAACCUCUUUCAGCAGGGACGAAGCGUAAGUGACGGUACCUGCAGAAGAAGCACCGGCUAACUAUGUG
rnacentral:rRNA from 1 species